rnacentral:rRNA from 1 species
GGCGUGCUAUACAUGCAAGUCGAACGCACAGCGAAAGGUGCUUGCACCUUUCAAGUGAGUGGCGAACGGGUGAGUAACACGUGGACAACCUGCCUCAAGGCUGGGGAUAACAUUUGGAAACAGAUGCUAAUACCGAAUAAAACUUAGUGUCGCAUGACACAAAGUUAAAAGGCGCUUCGGCGUCACCUAGAGAUGGAUCCGCGGUGCAUUAGUUAGUUGGUGGGGUAAAGGCCUACCAAGACAAUGAUGCAUAGCCGAGUUGAGAGACUGAUCGGCCACAUUGGGACUGAGACACGGCCCAAACUCCUACGGGAGGCUGCAGUAGGGAAUCUUCCACAAUGGGCGAAAGCCUGAUGGAGCAACGCCGCGUGUGUGAUGAAGGCUUUCGGGUCGUAAAGCACUGUUGUAUGGGAAGAACAGCUAGAAUAGGAAAUGAUUUUAGUUUGACGGUACCAUACCAGAAAGGGACGGCUAAAUACGUGCCAGCAGCCGCGGUAAUACGUAUGUCCCCGAGCGUUAUCCGGAUUUAUUGGGCGUAAAGCGAGCGCAGACGGUUUAUUAAGUCUGAUGUGAAAGCCCGGAGCUCAACUCCGGAAUGGCAUUGGAAACUGGUUAACUUGAGUGCAGUAGAGGUAAGUGGAACUCCAUGUGUAGCGGUGGAAUGCGUAGAUAUAUGGAAGAACACCAGUGGCGAAGGCGGCUUACUGGACUGCAACUGACGUUGAGGCUCCGAAAGUGUUGGGUAGCAAACAGAUUAGAUACCUGGUAGUCCACAC